UACGGAAGGUCCGGGCGUUAUCCGGAUUUAUUGGGUUUAAAGGGAGCGCAGGCCGGUUGGUAUGCGUGACGUGAAAUGUAGCCGCUCAACGGCCGAACUGCGUCGCGAACUGCCAGUCUUGAGUGAGUUCGAUGUGGGCGGAAUUCGUGGUGUAGCGGUGAAAUGCUUAGAUAUCACGAAGAACUCCGAUUGCGAAGGCAGCCCACAAGGCCUUUACUGACGCUAAAGCUCGAAGGUGAGGGUAUCGAAC
rnacentral:rRNA from 1 species